rfam:Arthrobotrys oligospora ATCC 24927 unplaced genomic scaffold scaffold00054, whole genome shotgun sequence.
GGCCAUAUGGCGCAAUGGUAGCGCGUUGCUCUCCUACUGCGCGGUAGACAGCUACCAGCAGUUCAGUAAAGCAGAGGUUGCAGAUUCGAGUUCUGCUAUGGUCG